UUUUUGGAAAUAAUUUAAAGUCUAAUCUGCCCACUGAUAAAUAUAUUAAAGGGCUGCAGUAUUUUGACUGUACAAAGGUAGCAUAAUCAUUAGUCUCUUAAUUGGUGACUUGUAUGAAAGAUUGGAUGAAAUAUAAACUGUCUCUAAUUAAUUUAUAAAAUUUAAUUUUUUAGUAAAAAAGCUAAAAUAAUUUUAAAAGACGAGAAGACCCUAUAGAGUUUUAUAAUUUAUUUGAUUUUUAUUUAUAUGUAAAUUUUAAAAUUAAAAUUAAAUAAAUUAUUUUGUUGGGGUGACAGAAAAAUUAAAUUAACUUUUUUAAAUAAUUAACAUUAAUUUAUGAAUAAAUGAUCCAUUAAUAUUGAUUAAAAGAAAAAAUUACCUUAGGGAUAACAGCGUAAUUUUUUUUUUUAGUUCAAAUAGGAAAAAAAGUUUGCGACCUCGAUGUUGGAUUAAGAUAAAAUUUAAAUG
rnacentral:rRNA from 1 species